AUUGAACGCUGGCGGCAGGCCUAACACAUGCAAGUCGAGCGGAUGAAGUGAGCUUGCUCCUGGAUUCAGCGGCGGACGGGUGAGUAAUUCCUAGGAAUCUGCCUGGUAGUGGGGGAUAACGUCCGGAAACGGGCGCUAAUACCGCAUACGUCCUGAGGGAGAAAGUGGGGGAUCUUCGGACCUCACGCUAUCAGAUGAGCCUAGGCCGGAUUAGCUAGUUGGUGGGGUAAAGGCCUACCAAGGCGACGAUCCGUAACUGGUCUGAGAGGAUGAUCAGUCACACUGGAACUGAGACACGGUCCAGGGUCCUACGGGAGGGAGCAGUGGGGAACAUUAGACAAUGGGCGAAAGCAUGAUCCAGCCAUGCGGCGUGUGUGAAGAAGGUCUUCGGAUUGUAAAGCACUUUUAGUUGGGAGGAAGGGCAGUAAGUUCAUACCUUGCUGUUUUGACGGUACCAACAGAAGAAGCACCGGCUAACUACGUG
rnacentral:rRNA from 1 species